AGAGUAUGGUUACAAACAAAACAAAGGAGAAACUUGAAACUUAUGAAACAUUAAAGAACGCAAAUAACACUUCUCCUUACACUAAACAAUGGAAUAAAAGACUCCAGCAACUGAGAAAGGAGCCUACACCACCAAUUCAAAAAAUCGAGCAUGAAGACUCUAAUAAUGUCAUGCAACCUAUUACAUCUAAUCUCUACAUGAGGAAACUCCAUCCUGAUAUAACAGCAUCAUGGAAGGUUGCACUGACAAUAAAAGAUAAACCACAUCACACCAUCACCAAGAUUGAGAGACCAAUGCCUGCCACUAUAUUCAAUAGAUACAGGGCCACAAGAAGGCCCUAUUCAGCCUAUCCAUGGUAUUAAUCACAACAAUUAUUAAACUGCUAAGUACUGAAAAUUAAGCUCCUAA